UUCGAGCGUCAUUACAACCCUCAAGCUCUGCUUGGUAUUGGGCGCCAUCCGUCUGGGUGCGCCUUAAAAUCAGUGGCGGUGCAUCUGGCUUCAAGCGUAGUAAAUUUUCUCGCUUUGGAGUUUAGUUGUGUGCUUGCCAGCAACCCCCAAUUUUAUCAAUGGUUGACCUCGGAUCAGGUAGGGAUACCCGCUGAACUUAA
rnacentral:misc_RNA from 1 species